CGAGGGGCAGCAUUUUAGUUUGCUUGCAAACUAAAGAUGGCGACCGGCGCACGGGUGAGUAACACGUAUCCAACCUGCCGAUAACUCGGGGAUAGCCUUUCGAAAGAAAGAUUAUAUCCGAUAGUAUAUUUUCUCCGCAUGGCGAGAAUAUUAAAGAAUUUCGGUUAUCGAUGGGGAUGCGUUCCAUUAGUUUGUUGGCGGGGUAACGGCCCACCAAGACUACGAUGGAUAGGGGUUCUGAGAGGAAGGUCCCCCACAUUGGAACUGAGACACGGUCCAAACUCCUACGGGAGGCAGCAGUGAGGAAUAUUGGUCAAUGGACGCGAGUCUGAACCAGCCAAGUAGCGUGAAGGAUGACUGCCCUAUGGGUUGUAAACUUCUUUUAUAUGGGAAUAAAGUGGUCCACGUGUGGAUUUUUGUAUGUACCAUAUGAAUAAGGAUCGGCUAACUCCGUGCCAGCAGCCGCGGUAAUACGGAGGAUCCGAGCGUUAUCCGGAUUUAUUGGGUUUAAAGGGAGCGUAGGCGGAUUGUUAAGUCAGUUGUGAAAGUUUGCGGCUCAACCGUAAAAUUGCAGUUGAUACUGGCAGUCUUGAGUGCAGUAGAGGUGGGCGGAAUUCGUGGUGUAGCGGUGAAAUGCUUAGAUAUCACGAAGAACUCCGAUUGCGAAGGCAGCUC
rnacentral:rRNA from 1 species